rnacentral:tRNA from 1 species
GGACACGUACCUAAACUUAAAGGGCCACCUUGAUAGGGUGAACAGUAGAGGUUGAAAUCCCCUCGUCUCCU